CCUACGGGAGGCAGCAGUGAGGAAUAUUGGUCAAUGGACGAGAGUCUGAACCAGCCAAGUAGCGUGAAGGAUGACUGCCCUAUGGGUUGUAAACUUCUUUUAUAUGGGAAUAAAACAGGGUAUGCAUACCCUCUUGUAUGUACCAUAUGAAUAAGGAUCGGCUAACUCCGUGCCAGCAGCCGCGGUAAUACGGAGGAUGCGAGCGUUAUCCGGAUUUAUUGGGUUUAAAGGGUGCGCAGGCGGAUUUUUAAGUCAGCGGUCAAAUCGUGGGGCUCAACCCCAUCCAGCCGUUGAAACUGGGGAUCUAGAGUGUGCGAGAGGUAUGCGGAAUGCGUGGUGUAGCGGUGAAAUGCAUAGAUAUCACGCAGAACCCCGAUUGCGAAGGCAGCAUACCGGUGCACAACUGACGCUCAGGCACGAAAGCGUGGGUAUCGAACAGGAUUAGAUACCCCAGUAGUC
rnacentral:rRNA from 1 species